rnacentral:lncRNA from 1 species
GUCUAUCAUUGAGCAACAGGCAUGAGCAAUGUUAUCUAUGGUUCUUCAGAGCACGGAAAAAGGCUGUGGCCUCCCUGGGAAAGAGGUUCUCUCAUGGAGAAAAACAAAAUCAUCUUGGAUCUCCUCAGGCAACUAAAUGGUGUCUAUCCAGCAAACACAUCCACACAGGCCAGUGUUGAGAUGGCUAUAUCAUACAGGCAAGUCAAUCAGUCCUGUGAUGGUUCCAAGGCAGCCAAAGUAUGUAGGAACGAGGUGGCCAUCCUUCAUCUUGUGGGUAGAACAAGUUCUCCUGGUAGAGAGCCCAAGGGCUUGGCUGAGGAGAGAAGAGCUGGAAGGAUCUUGAGAAGCAUUGGCUAUGUCUGCUUUCCCGCUUGUUUUGAGGGAUCUGAACAGUAUCUGCCAAGACUUACCAGAUCUGAACCCUCAAGCAAUGGGAGUCAGGAAAAGGGGGAGUGAGAAGAGAGGUACUUCUGCAAGGCAGUGGCUCUGUUCCCUGAGAUAAAAGGCCUUCUGCCAUCUCUCCACAAGUCUUCCAAUCCCUACAAUAGAAGGUCUUCCCCAGUUUGGCCAAGGAAAUUUGGCAAACCCUCCAAGGUUUGGUGAGACAAGGUUGAGUGCUUCCCUGGAUCGUCCCACCACUAGCAUGAUGGACCAUGAGGCUUGCCUGAUGCUGGCCACAACCCCACGUGUGCGUUCAGUGACACAUUGGGCUAUCCCACGCCUUCCCUGAAGUUUGCCCACACCUUCCACCAUGUUGCCGCUUGUCCACUAUGGCGCUGCUUGUCCACUAUGGCGCUGCUUAAUGAUCUCUGGUGCUGAACUCAAAAAGCAUCCCUCCCUCCCUCCCCCUUCCUCUCCCUUUCCUUCUGGCAGCUACCAAACAUACAGUUUGGCUGCUCUGUUGUUUGUCUCCCCAACUCUAAUAAAAUUGUCCCGGAGCUUC